rnacentral:rRNA from 1 species
ACUGGGAUAACUUCGGGAAACCGGAGCUAAUACCGGAUAAUAUUAUGAACCGCAUGGUUCAAAAGUGAAAGACGGUCUUGCUGUCACUUAUAGAUGGAUCCGCGCUGCAUUAGCUAGUUGGUAAGGUAACGGCUUACCAAGGCAACGAUGCAUAGCCGACCUGAGAGGGUGAUCGGCCACACUGGAACUGAGACACGGUCCAGACUCCUACGGGAGGCAGCAGUAGGGAAUCUUCCGCAAUGGGCGAAAGCCUGACGGAGCAACGCCGCGUGAGUGAUGAAGGUCUUCGGAUCGUAAAACUCUGUUAUUAGGGAAGGACAUAUGUGUAAGUAACUGUGCACAUCUUGACGGUACCUAAUCAGAAAGCCACGGCUAACUACGUGCCAGCAGCCGCGGUAAUACGUAGGUGGCAAGCGUUAUCCGGAAUUAUUGGGCGUAAAGCGCGCGUAGGCGGUUUUUUAAGUCUGAUGUGAAAGCCCACGGCUCAACCGUGGAGGGUCAUUGGAAACUGGAAAACUUGAGUGCAGAAGAAGAAAGUGGAAUUCCAUGUGUAGCGGUGAAAUGCGCAGAGAUAUGGAGGAACACCAGUGGCGA